rnacentral:rRNA from 1 species
AGGAUCAUUUGCAAUGGGCGAAAGCCUGACAAUGCGACGCUGCGUGGAGGAUGAAGGCCUUCGGGUUGUAAACUCCUGUCAUGGGGGAACAGGCGAGGGGACCCAACACGUCCCUUAGUUGAGUGUACCCCAAGAGGAAGCGACGGCUAACUCUGUGCCAGCAGCCGCGGUAAUACAGAGGUCGCAAGCGUUGUUCGGAUUUACUGGGCGUAAAGGGCGCGUAGGCGGCAGGGCGUGUCAAGUGUGAAAUCUCCGGGCCCAACCCGGAAAGUGCGCUUGAAACUACCUUGCUCGAGUCCGGAAGAGGGAAUCGGAAUACAGGGUGUAGCGGUGAAAUGCGUUGAUAUCCUGUAGAACACCGGAGGCGAAGGCGGAUUCCUUGUACGGUACUGACGCUGAGGCGCGAAAGUCGGGGGAGCAAACA